rnacentral:lncRNA from 1 species
GCAAUUUUAAAACUUAUAUUUGACUGAUAAGAACGUAGGGCCUUGAUACAAAAUAUGGUAGUUUGAAUAACACUGUUUACGAUAUUUAAAGAAAACGUUGGAAAAGAAAAGACAAAAGAAGCUACAAAAAAACUCGAAGUGGAUCUUUUAUCUGUUCUUUGAUGUCCCGAAUCCAACAGAACUUUCAUAGCAAACUCUCCCGUCUUUUCCGGGUACAUAAUCUUUGCUCAAAUGAAUUUAGCUAGAACCGAGCAGCUCAACUUUGUUCUGCAGAACCAGUCUGGUACGAGUAUAAUAAGCAAAGCUAUAUAUU